AUACAAAUGAGCUAGAGCAAGCAGAGGCAUUAAAGUAUCUAUACAGAUGGCUUCAAAAUCACCCAAAGUAUGGUGCUCUUGCCCGUCCCGAGCUGGCGGAUUCUCUAUAUUAUGCUGAUGUUGCGAGGUUAUUCAAUGAAGCCGCUAAGAUGUCCCCUGAGGAUUCGGAUGUUCAUAUAGUACUUGGUGUCUUAUACAACUUGUCACGAGAAUAUGAUAAAGCAAUAGAUUCCUUUCAAACAUCACUAAAACUCAAGCCACGCGACUACUCUCUCUGGAACAAACUUGGUGCAACCCAAGCAAACAGCGUUCAAAGUGCAGAUGCAAUAUCGGCAUAUCAGCAGGCACUAGACUUGAAGCCCAA
rnacentral:misc_RNA from 1 species